GACGAACGCUGGCGGCGUGCUUAACACAUGCAAGUCGAACGGAAAGGCCCUGCUUUUGUGGGGUGCUCGAGUGGCGAACGGGUGAGUAACACGUGAGUAACCUGCCCUUGACUUUGGGAUAACUUCAGGAAACUGGGGCUAAUACCGGAUAGGAGCUCCUGCUGCAUGGUGGUGGUUGGAAAGUUUCGGCGGUUGGGGAUGGACUCGCGGCUUAUCAGCUUGUUGGUGGGGUAGUGGCUUACCAAGGCUUUGACGGGUAGCCGGCCUGAGAGGGUGACCGGCCACAUUGGGACUGAGAUUCGGCCCAGACUCCUACGGGAGGCAGCAGUGGGGAAUAUUGCACAAUGGGCGGAAGCCUGAUGCAGCAACGCCGCGUGCGGGAUGACGGCCUUCGGGUUGUAAACCGCUUUCGCCUGUGACGAAGCGUGAGUGACGGUAAUGGGUAAAGAAGCACCGGCUAACUACGUG
rnacentral:rRNA from 1 species